UUUCCACUGCUGACGACGCCGAUUGAAUCGAACUACAGAGCCUGCACCAUCCCUUACCGCUUCCCCUCCGACAAUCCCCGCAAGCCCACCCCCACUGAGAUUGCUUGGAUCGACCUCUUCCUCAACUCCAUCCCUUCCUUCAAGAAGCGAGCUGAGAGUGAUGCUUCAGUCAAUGAUGCUCCUGCUAAAGCUGAAACGUUUGCUCAGAGGUACUCUGAAAUACUUGAGGACUUGAAGAAGGAAG